UCUUCUUUUUCCCAAAAUCGUUUUCCCCCCACCCCCAAAAUUUCACCUGAAAUCUCUUCUUUUUCUUUCCCCAAUUUAUUUUUCCCAAAGUAAACUAAAAGAGAAAAAGGGGAUGGAAAGUUGAAGAGUGGAGAGGCUGGAUCAGUUGCCGACAGCCCUUUUGGCUACCAUCAUGACCAAGCUUGAUAUCUCUUCCAUCUGCUCUUUGGCUGUCAUCUGCACAUGGGGAUGAGGAUGAAGAAGAUGAAGAAGACGAAGAAGAAGAAGAAGACGAAGACGAAGAUGAAGCCGACGCCGACAAUGAGAAAGAGAAGAUUGCUCAGACUAAAAAGGUUCGUCUUUUCUCCUCCUUUUAUUGAUUGAAGUCCUGACAUUAGUUGAUUCAUCGAUUGCGAAUUAGGUCGCAGGCAGCGGCAGCAAUGUGUGUAGGAUUUGGCAGCUUCUCUGGCCCUCCUGAGGCGCAGGGUCUUGCUCAUUUUCUAGAACACAUGCUAUUCAUUGGUAGUAUUGAAUUUCCCGAUGAAAACGAGUAUGAUAGUUACUUAUCCAAACAUGGAGGCUCAUCAAAUGCAUAAACUGAAGCUAAGCAUACAUGCUACCAUUUUGAAGUUGAAGGAGAAUUUCUCAAGGGUGCUUUGAGAAGGUAAUUAAAUUGUAAAGGGCAGAGAUUCUCCUAAUUUUUAAUUUCACCCCUUGUGAAACUUGAAGCGAUGGAGCGAGAGGUGCUUGCUGUGGAUUCUGGGUGUUUUUAUUGGGGUCAUUAUUUUGUUGACAAGUGGGGGUAAAAGCUCUCAUCUUUUAGUCUUUAGUGAACAUCUGUUCUUUAUCUAUCUUCUGCCCCCUAUUAUAUUCAAUGCUGGGAUUGGUCAUUACACAAUCCCUAAAGAGAUGAAUGAGGUCUGCAAUUGGCUUACAGCAAGGUUGGGGCUUGAGGGAUAACGCUAAAUAUAGCGAAGAGUUAGGAAGCAAUAAUGGUGAAAUGAGAGAAGAUUGCAUAUGUUACAAGUAGGUAUAUGGUAUACUUGGAUCUGGAGAUGUUUCACUACCUGAGGCUACCCUUGUAGAAAUAAGAGAUCAGCAGAGUUUCUUGGAAUUGAAAUUGCUACUUCAGACUGUAUUAGCUAUUAUGUAGUAUAACAUCAAUAUCAAUGUCCAUCGUCUUAGGAACUUUUUUAUUUGUUUACUUUUGUACAUUGGGUUAAAUGUUGGUGGUAUAAAUUUUGCCUAAAUGUUAGUGUAUUUUGAUAUUGGAUCGAUUUUUGUAAUAAAUAUUCAACCUUUAUUUUAAUUUUAGUUUAAUAUUUUUUAGUUGUAUUUAAA